rnacentral:rRNA from 1 species
UACGUAGGCAGCAAGCGUUGUUCGGAGUUACUGGGCGUAAGGGUGCGUAGGCGGCCCUGUAAGUAUGGUGUGAAAUCUCCCGGCUUAACUGGGAGGGUGCGCUAUAGACUGCGGGGCUCGAGUGUGGGAGAGGAAAGUGGAAUUCCUGGUGUAGCGGUGAAAUGCGUAGAUAUCAGGAGGAACACCGGUGGUGUAAACGGCUUUCUGGACCAUAACUGACGCUGAGGCACGAAAGCGUGGGUAGCAAACAGG